AAAACAUGGCAAAGGUUAAGAAACCUAGGCAUGCUUCAUGAUGCGAUUCCUUAUCCCAACAACAGAGUUAAUCAUCCCAUGCAUGUCAAGGUAGCCCGAAGACACUUCAGUACCACUACUUGGGGACGCCCAACUUCUAAUUCACUUAGGACAAAGGCAGUUGGAGCUUUGAAGACAAAUUCUGUAUUGGGUUCAAGACUUCACGUCUGUAACUACGAGCUUGGUAUCGUUUUCAUUGUUUCACCAUCAGAUGCAAACAGUAGUCCCAACCAUAAGAGUCUGAGUUUGGAUGAUAUUAUAUUGCCAUUUGUCGUGCCUGCCCCGAAAUAUAAACCCAGUGACACACCAGCAACAAAACAGGCUAUGAGAGAAGCAUUGGCUGAAUGUGAGAGAAGAUAUCUAUGGAAGCAGUUGCAUUCGAAGAAUUGAUGGAAGAAAAAGAAGAGAUCGCAGAUGAAAAAGAGGAAGUGUUGGAGGCAGCUGAUUAUGUCACAAAGGAGAGGGAAGAUAAGAAAGCUUAUGCUGAUAUAUUGUGGAGCCAAAGUUGAUUCAUUUGAGCUUCUGAUUAAAUUGCUUGUUGAGAGGAAAGUAAUAAAUGGCUUGAAAUGUUCAUGUAUGUACUUCCUCCAGAGCUGUCAUGGAGAAAUGUAAAAUCUAGAAUGUUGUAUUCUCUAGUUGUAUUCUCUAGGAUUGUAGCAUUUUAAGAUGUGAUGCUUUGGGGGUUUGAAGGGUUGGUGUACCAAAGGACUAUUCUUUUCAUUGGUUUCUGAUUGUACUGGGGGUUGAGUAGGUCUUUAGAUUUCCAUUGUUUAUAUACUAGUGGCAUUAACAAAAAUAAAGGAUAAAUGAGAUUGCAAGAAAGUGUUGAUCUGCCUUCA